UACACCUGUUAGCAAGGGCCGGGCAAGACCGGUGCCAGCCGCCGCGGUAACACCGGCGGCCCGAGUGGUGAUCGUGAUUAUUGGGUCUAAAGGGUCCGUAGCCGGUUUGGUCAGUCCUCCGGGAAAUCUGAUAGCUCAACUAUUAGGCUAUCGGGGGAUACUACCAGACUUGGAACCGGGAGAGGUAAGAGGUACUACAGGGGUAGGAGUGAAAUCUUGUAAUCCCUGUGGGACCACCUGUGGCGAAGGCGUCUUACCAGAACGGGUUCGACGGUGAGGGACGAAAGCUGGGGGCACGAACCGGAUUAGAUACCCGGGUAGUCCCAGCCGUAAACGAUGCUCGCUAGGUGUCAGGCAUGGCGCGACCGUGUCUGGUGCCGCAGGGAAGCCGUGAAGCGAGCCACCUGGGAAGUACGGCCGCAAGGCUGAAACUUAAAGGAAUUGGCGGGG
rnacentral:rRNA from 1 species